GACGAACCGUGCGAACGUUGUUCGGAAUCACUGGGCUUAAAGGGCGCGUAGGCGGGCUAUCAAGUCCGGGGUGAAAUCCUCCCGCUCAACGGGAGAACUGCCUCGGAUACUGAUGGUCUCGAGGGGGAUAGGGGCACACGGAACUGUGGGUGGAGCGGUGAAAUGCGUUGAUAUCCAUAGGAACUCCGGUGGCGAAAGCGGUGUGCGUGGAUCCCUUCUGACGCUGAC
rnacentral:rRNA from 1 species